rnacentral:rRNA from 1 species
GCAAGUCGAGCGAGAAGGUGUAGCAAUACACUUGUAAAGCGGCGAACGGGUGAGGAAUACAUGGGUAACCUACCCUCGAGCGGGGAAUAACUAGCCGAAAGGUUAGCUAAUACCGCGUACGCUUCCGGGACUGCGGUUCCGGAAGGAAAGCAACACCGUGGGUGUUGCGCUCUUGGAUGGGCUCAUGUCCUAUCAGCUUGUUGGUGAGGUAACGGCUCACCAAGGCUUCGACGGGUAGCUGGUCUGAGAGGACGAUCAGCCACACUGGCACUGCGACACGGGCCAGACUCCUACGGGAGGCAGCAGUAAGGAAUAUUGCGCAAUGGACGACAGUCUGACGCAGCGACGCCGCGUGGGGGACGAAGGUCUUCGGAUUGUAAACCCCUUUCGGGAGGGAAGAUGGGGUGGGGUAACCCACUCGGACGGUACCUCCAGAAGCAGCCACGGCUAACUUCGUGCCAGCAGCCGCGGUAAUACGAAGGUGGCAAGCGUUGUUCGGAUUUACUGGGCGUACAGGGAGCGUAGGCGGUUCGGUAAGCCCUCUGUGAAAUCUCCAGGCUUAACCUGGAACAGUCGGAGGGGACUGCUGGGCUAGAGGAUGGGAGAGGAGCGCGGAAUUCCCGGUGUAGCGGUGAAAUG